rnacentral:snRNA from 1 species
CUGCUCACUUUGGGAGAAUAUAUACUAAAAUUGGAACAGUAAACAGAAAAGAUUAGCAUGGCCCCCGUAUAAGGAAGACCUGCAAAUUCCUGAAGUGUCCCAUACAAAC